UCCAGUGUGGCAUAAUGGGUUGAGUGUUGGACUAUGACUCUAGAGACCAGGGUUCGAUUCCCCACUCGGUUA
rnacentral:tRNA from 1 species